rnacentral:misc_RNA from 1 species
UCCGGUUUGUCACCGGCAGUCCCCUAUGAGUGCCCGGCAUAACCCGGUAGCAACAUAGGGCGAGGGUUGCGCUCGUUGCGGGACUUAACCCAACAUCUCACGACACGAGCUGACGACAGCCAUGCACCACCUGUGAAGGUCCGGCCGAACCGACCCCGUGUUUCCACGGGUGCGACCUACAUGUCAAGCCCAGGUAAGGUUCUUCGCGUUGCGUCGAAUUAAACCACAUGCUCCACCGCUUGUGCGGGCCCCCGUCAAUUCCUUUGAGUUUCAGCCUUGCGGCCGUACUCCCCAGGCGGGGCACUUAAUGCGUUAGCGCCGGCACCCAGGGGGUCGCUCCCCCAGGCACCUAGUGCCCAUCGUUUACGGCGUGGACUAC